UGGAAAGAUGAAUCAAAGAAGGUAAUAAUCCUGUAGUCGAAAAUGUUGUCUCUCUUGAGUGGAUCCUGAGUACGACGGAGCACGUGAAAUUCCGUCGGAAUCUGGGAGGACCAUCUCCUAAGGCUAAAUACUCUCUAGUGACCGAUAGUGAACCAGUACCGUGAGGGAAAGGUGAAAAGCACCCCGGAAGGGGAGUGAAAUAGAACCUGAAACCGUGUGCUUACAAGUAGUCAGAGCCCGUUAAUGGGUGAUGGCGUGCCUUUUGUAGAAUGAACCGGCGAGUUACGAUUUGAUGCAAGGUUAAGCAGUAAAUGUGGAGCCGUAGCGAAAGCGAGUCUGAAUAGGGCGUUUAGUAUUUGGUCGUAGACCCGAAACCAGGUGAUCUACCCUUGGUCAGGUUGAAGUUCAGGUAACACUGAAUGGAGGACCGAACCGACUUACGUUGAAAAGUGAGCGGAUGAACUGAGGGUAGCGGAGAAAUUCCAAUCGAACCUGGAGAUAGCUGGUUCUCUCCGAAAUAGCUUUAGGGCUAGCCUCAAGUGAUGAUUAUUGGAGGUAGAGCACUGUUUGGACGAGGGGCCCCUCUCGGGUUACCGAAUUCAGACAAACUCCGAAUGCCAAUUAAUUUAACUUGGGAGUCAGAACAUGGGUGAUAAGGUCCGUGUUCGAAAGGGAAACAGCCCAGACCACCAGCUAAGGUCCCAAAAUAUAUGUUAAGUGGAAAAGGAUGUGGCGUUGCCCAGACAACUAGGAUGUUGGCUUAGAAGCAGCCAUCAUUUAAAGAGUGCGUAAUAGCUCACUAGUCGAGUGACACUGCGCCGAAAAUGUACCGGGGCUAAACAUAUUACCGAAGCUGUGGAUUGUCCUUUGGACAAUGGUAGGAGAGCGUUCUAAGGGCGUUGAAGCAUGAUCGUAAGGACAUGUGGAGCGCUUAGAAGUGAGAAUGCCGGUGUGAGUAGCGAAAGACGGGUGAGAAUCCCGUCCACCGAUUGACUAAGGUUUCCAGAGGAAGGCUCGUCCGCUCUGGGUUAGUCGGGUCCUAAGCUGAGGCCGACAGGCGUAGGCGAUGGAUAACAGGUUGAUAUUCCUGUACCACCUAUAAUCGUUUUAAUCGAUGGGGGGACGCAGUAGGAUAGGCGAAGCGUGCGAUUGGAUUGCACGUCUAAGCAGUAAGGCUGAGUAUUAGGCAAAUCCGGUACUCAUUAAGGCUGAGCUGUGAUGGGGAGAAGACAUUGUGUCUUCGAGUCGUUGAUUUCACACUGCCGAGAAAAGCCUCUAGAUAGAAAAUAGGUGCCCGUACCGCAAACCGACACAGGUAGUCAAGAUGAGAAUUCUAAGGUGAGCGAGCGAACUCUCGUUAAGGAACUCGGCAAAAUGACCCCGUAACUUCGGGAGAAGGGGUGCUCUUUAGGGUUAACGCCCAGAAGAGCCGCAGUGAAUAGGCCCAAGCGACUGUUUAUCAAAAACACAGGUCUCUGCUAAACCGUAAGGUGAUGUAUAGGGGCUGACGCCUGCCCGGUGCUGGAAGGUUAAGAGGAGUGGUUAGCUUCUGCGAAGCUACGAAUCGAAGCCCCAGUAAACGGCGGCCGUAACUAUAACGGUCCUAAGGUAGCGAAAUUCCUUGUCGGGUAAGUUCCGACCCGCACGAAAGGCGUAACGAUUUGGGCACUGUCUCAACGAGAGACUCGGUGAAAUCAUAGUACCUGUGAAGAUGCAGGUUACCCGCGACAGGACGGAAAGACCCCGUGGAGCUUUACUGUAGCCUGAUAUUGAAAUUCGGCACAGCUUGUACAGGAUAGGUAGGAGCCUUUGAAACGUGAGCGCUAGCUUACGUGGAGGCGCUGGUGGGAUACUACCCUAGCUGUGUUGGCUUUCUAACCCGCACCACUUAUCGUGGUGGGAGACAGUGUCAGGCGGGCAGUUUGACUGGGGCGGUCGCCUCCUAAAAGGUAACGGAGGCGCUCAAAGGUUCCCUCAGAAUGGUUGGAAAUCAUUCAUAGAGUGUAAAGGCAUAAGGGAGCUUGACUGCGAGACCUAC
rnacentral:rRNA from 1 species